rnacentral:tRNA from 1 species
CAUUAGAUGGCUGAAAUUUAAGCAAUGGUCUCUUAAACCAUAUAAUAGUAUUUAUACUUCUAAUG